UACAGAGGUGGCAAGCGUUGUUCGGAAUUACUGGGCGUAAAGGGUGCGUAGGCGGCCAUGUAAGUGAGGUGUGAAAUCCCUCGGCUCAACCGAGGAACUGCGCUUCAUACUGCAUGGCUUGAGGGAGACAGGGGUAAGCGGAACUGAUGGUGGAGCGGUGAAAUGCGUUGAUAUCAUCAGGAACACCGGUGGCGAAAGCGGCUUACUGGGUCUCUUCUGACGCUGAGGUACGAAAGCUAGGGUAGCGAACGGG
rnacentral:rRNA from 1 species